rnacentral:rRNA from 1 species
GUCCACGCCGUAAACGAUGGGCACUAGGCGCUUGGGGGAGCGACCCCCCGAGGGCCGGCGCUAACGCAUUAAGUGCCCCGCCUGGGGAGUACGGCCGCAAGGCUGAAACUCAAAGGAAUUGACGGGGGCCCGCACAAGCGGUGGAGCAUGUGGUUUAAUUCGACGCAACGCGAAGAACCUUACCUAGGCUUGACAUACACGGGAAAGCCCUCAGAAAAGGGGGCCCCUCUUCGGAGCCCGUGCACAGGUGCUGCAUGGCUGUCGU